rnacentral:lncRNA from 1 species
GUUUUCCCUCCUGGGUAAAGUUAUGUUCAGUCUUCCAUCAACUCGUUUAUUUUUCCGCCCGACUCGGCGCGCGUGCGCAGUGCCUCCCAGCCCAGGCUGUUCCUGAAAUGUAAUCGUGUUGAGACACAGGGAGGGAAGCUGAACGUCCAUUCUACAGGUCAGUCAACACUUUGACUCAGCAGUUCACCUUCGGAGCAUUACCCUAGUGGACAUCCAUCUGUGCCUCGAGGCUGCUUCAAGGAUGCUCUGGACUAUGUAUUGUUUAUUAUAAUAUAGUGAGGCUUGGCCCCAUAAUGAUGGCUAUUGUAUAAGUCCUCUACAAGAGUUUAAGAAAUAACCUGUGUGCGAGGCUCAGAUAAGCACUAGGGACACCAGGAAUGUUAACUACACAGGAAUGUCUGUUUAGUGAGAGAGAUGUAUGACGUGUCUUCUGCCCAGAAGGCUGGGAGCAGAUGUGGGUAAUGGCCUGUGACCUGAGACUGAUAGGCUGAGAUCUCACCAGUUCCUCCCUGGACUCUUAUCGGUGAGCAUGUUUUUCUCAGUCUAUAGAAACUAUCUUUCUGGAAGAUGUCACAUGUACUUUACAAAGAGUUCCAGUGCAGUGGUGUCCUAAGCUGUGCUGUGCACAGGUGAUUGGGUUAAUUAUCACCAGGUGGCAGCCAGCUGAGCUUGGCCAUUGUUCCUUACCACAUCCAGUUCGGUUUUCUCCAGGACAUCCACCAGUACCUCAAUCUUGGUCUUGUCGCUGAAGAGAAAGUCAUCGUCCACCCAGAGGACAUAUUUAGUAGUCACCUGUGAGAUGGCCAGGUUCCUCCCAGCAAACCAGCCCUGCAGGCAGCAUGGGGUUGGAUCAGCAGUUGUCACCUCGGGGGCUUCUUGAAUUCCCAGUGACCAGGCUGCCUCCCACCAUGGGUGAACUUGGAAUCUGUGGGAUUCUGUAGUUCAGACAAGGCUGACGACUACAGUCUGCCUCAGAGAGACAUGGCAGGGACAGUGACUUUCUGGAUCAGAGGCUGAGACAAAGACUGGAAAGUCCUUCCUUAGUCCAGUGACCUCUAUGAAUAGACUGGAGUCCCCUCUCAUCUUACAGUUGCCUUCUACCUCCUGGGAGAUGUUGGUUUGGGGAACAUUUGCGCUCAGUGAUAUCUUUCCCUUUUCUAUGUUUGGCGGAAGAUAGGAGGAGAGAGGAAAGGAAGUGGAUGGGACAGGGAGGGAGAGGGAGCCUAGCUUGGGGACAGUCACAGAGAACAAAAGGCUGCUAUGGCCCCAUGCAUCACAAUCAGCUAUCAGAUCCCAUAUGUCACCUGUAAGAACCCCUGUCAAUUUCCACAUCGAAUAGGAGGAAGGUAGAAUAAACUAGCACUUCGUU